rnacentral:rRNA from 1 species
UACGUAGGGUGCGAGCGUUGCCCGGAUUUAUUGGGCGUAAAGGGCGCGUAGGCGGCCACGCACGUCCGUUGUGAAAUCGCCCGGCUCAACUGGGCGGGGUCGGCGGAUACGGCGUGGCUGGAGCAAGCUAGGGGGCAAUGGAAUUCCCGGUGUAGUGGUGGAAUGCGUAGAUAUCGGGAGGAACACCAGUGGCGAAGGCGGUUGCCUGGAGCUUUUGCUGACGCUGAGGCGCGAAAGCGUGGGGGAGCGAUCCGG